CUUAACACAUGCAAGUCGAGCGCGUAGCAAUACGAGCGGCAGACGGGUGAGUAACGCGUGGGAAUCUACCCUUUUCUACGGAAUAACGCAGGGAAACUUGUGCUAAUACCGUAUACGCCCUUUGGGGGAAAGAUUUAUCGGAGAAGGAUGAGCCCGCGUUGGAUUAGCUAGUUGGUGGGGUAAAGGCCUACCAAGGCGACGAUCCAUAGCUGGUCUGAGAGGAUGAUCAGCCACAUUGGGACUGAGACACGGCCCAAACUCCUACGGGAGGCAGCAGUGGGGAAUAUUGGACAAUGGGCGCAAGCCUGAUCCAGCCAUGCCGCGUGAGUGAUGAAGGCCCUAGGGUUGUAAAGCUCUUUC
rnacentral:rRNA from 1 species